AGAUUGAACGCUGGCGGCAGGCCUAACACAUGCAAGUCGAGCGGCAGCACGGGUACUUGUACCUGGUGGCGAGCGGCGGACGGGUGAGUAAUGCCUAGGAAUCUGCCUGAUAGUGGGGGAUAACGUUCGGAAACGGACGCUAAUACCGCAUACGUCCUACGGGAGAAAGUGGGGGAUCUUCGGACCUCACGCUAUCAGAUGAGCCUAGGUCGGAUUAGCUAGUUGGUAGGGUAAAGGCCUACCAAGGCUACGAUCCGUAACUGGUCUGAGAGGAUGAUCAGUCACACUGGAACUGAGACACGGUCCAGACUCCUACGGGAGCAGCAGUGGGAAUAGUUGACAAU
rnacentral:rRNA from 1 species